AUGAAGAUCGGGAAGGCUCCUGAGCUCCCGAAGAAGGCGGCAGCGAUGUGCAAGAGCAAGACCACCAGGCUCCUCAUCCUCGCCUCGCUCCAGCGCCGUAGGAUGGCCACGGCCGCCGUGGUCUCUCGCAAGAUUGACGCGCUCAUAAUGGCUGACUGGGAGAGAGCGGACCGCCACAAGGCACUCGCGUUGGGAAUGGUCGAGAAGAAACCGGUCAUCAACCAUGAGAGUGACUUGGAGGCCAACUUUUCUCGUCACUUGGUGAUGUUCGGUCAAGAGAAUGGUCAUGGUCGCUGCCACACUGACCGAAUGCAUUCCUUCUUCAACAACGACCAAGAGAACUUCCAUUACACUGACGAUGAUGAUGUGGAACUUGAUUCAUGUGAUCAAGACGAUGAUGAUGAGCCAUCAGUCAUGGAUGUAAUCAAGAACAACCGAGAAGUUGAGGGGUUGGAGUUCAACAUGGAGGAGGAGAUUGAUCAGGCUGCUGAUAUGUUCAUUAGGAGAUUCCGGCAGCGGCUGAACGAGGGAUUUUAG
rnacentral:rRNA from 1 species